UCGUAACACGGACAUCUGUAUUUUCCCUCAAGAAUAUUACAGUUGCACAACUCUAGCGGGUGAAAUUAAGAAUGUUUCUUCAGAAAAGCAAAGUGUGUUGAAUCAGAGUGAUGUAUUUCUAGGGAAAAGAGAGGAAAGGCUCGAAGCACAAUGUAGACGCUCCGAAAAGAUCGUCUAAAGCGAGGAGCGUCACGCUGGAGGAUGAGGACUGGAAGAAGGCGGCGCUAGUCAGCGGAUCCAGUCUGACGCGCUCUGGAAGCGUUAAAGAUCUCAUAUACAGGUUUGACGGGCCGCUGCCAAGCCUCGGCUCGCUGAAGAUCAAAAGGCAAGACGUGAGCGCAUGGGAUUCUGGGAAAAUGAGACAUGAAAGCAGAGAGAGAGAGAAGAGCCAGAACCCGGUCUCUGGUGAACUGUCAGAACCGAAAACACAAGAAGCCUCUGAGCAGGAACGUCACGGAGCAGAGAAGAAGAGCGAUGACGAGCAGAAGGCCCAGCACAGUAAAGACAAGCCAGACGCUUCUGAUCCCGGUCCGCAUUCCAAUCUAAAUGGCGAGAAGCAGCACAGCAGUCCUCAGUCCGAGGACGAGCCCACGACCCCGAAAGUCCGUCCCAACCCCAAGUACCAGCUCUACCUGGGCUCCAACGGCACCAGCGGCUCCAACGGGACCCUGCUGAGGGUCAGUCCUGUGAUCCGGGGGUCCAUGGAGUCGCUGUCGUCCCGGGACGGGGACAGCAUGUCCGACAGAACAGGUGGCUUUGAAAGUCCUCCCCGAGUUUUCAACAGUCCGUAUUCGACGCUCUCGCUGGACUACAAUCCCUUCAACAGAAUGUCUGACUUCAAGACACAGGAAGUGAUGUCACCCACCGUCUCUGAGAUGAACCUGUUCGGUCUGAACAGAAGCGUGAGUCCCGUUAACAGUCCGGCUCUGAACCAGCGCACACGAGUCCCUGGAUACGACAGUCUGACCCGCAGACGAGACGUGAGUCUAGGCUGCCUCAUUAACGCACAGCUAAAAUUCGAAUGCAACGUUUUUGCAUUCGAAUGUGGAUUUUUAUUUUAAAUUCGACGAAUAUUCCAAAUAUGAUUUUUUUUGACAGCCCUAAUUAAUAACAUCACAAAUGUUGUUAGUUGAAAUAAAAUAAGUUAACUGAAAUACAAAAACUUAAACGUGUUUUAUUUCACUUCAACUAGAGCUAAAACUGAAAUAAAAAUAGACAUACUUUAAGAAAACAAUAGACGUACUUUAAAAAAAACGAACAAAAAUUACAAACACGCAACAAAAUAAAUAAAACUAACUAAAGAAAAAAUGAAAACAGAAAAUAUAAAAAUAAAAGCUAUGAAAAUAAGAAAAUUCUAAUAUUAAUAAAAACUAUAAUAAUAUCUCAAUGAAACUAGAAUAACAGGAACUAAUGGC
rnacentral:lncRNA from 1 species